rnacentral:rRNA from 1 species
CCACUUCGGUGGGGAUUAGUGGCGAACGGGUGAGUAACACGUGGGCAAUCUGCCCUGCACUCUGGGACAAGCCCUGGAAACGGGGUCUAAUACCGGAUACUGACCCGCUUGGGCAUCCAAGCGGUUCGAAAGCUCCGGCGGUGCAGGAUGAGCCCGCGGCCUAUCAGCUUGUUGGUGAGGUAGUGGCUCACCAAGGCGACGACGGGUAGCCGGCCUGAGAGGGCGACCGGCCACACUGGGACUGAGACACGGCCCAGACUCCUACGGGAGGCAGCAGUGGGGAAUAUUGCACAAUGGGCGAAAGCCUGAUGCAGCGACGCCGCGUGAGGGAUGACGGCCUUCGGGUUGUAAACCUCUUUCAGCAGGGAAGAAGCGAAAGUGACGGUACCUGCAGAAGAAGCGCCGGCUAACUACGUGCCAGCAGCCGCGGUAAUACGUAGGGCGCGAGCGUUGUCCGGAAUUAUUGGGCGUAAAGAGCUCGUAGGCGGCUUGUCACGUCGGUUGUGAAAGCCCGGGGCUUAACCCCGGGUCUGCAGUCGAUACGGGCAGGCUAGAGUUCGGUAGGGGAGAUCGGA